ACCUUCUUACUUAAGCUCUGUACUAAAACUGCAGAAACUAAUAAUCAUGUCUUAGUAUGUAUAAAUAAAGCAGCAGAGUAAACACAAAAAGAAAAACAACUGUACCAGAUAGUAGAAAACCUGAGUUGAACCUCUUUCUUAAGCCCAGAGUACUUUAUUCUAAGAUUUGGUACAAUAAUA